rnacentral:rRNA from 1 species
GAUCCUGGCUCAGGAUGAACGCUGGCGGCGUGCCUAACACAUGCAAGUUGAGCGAUUUACUUCGGUAAAGAGCGGCGGACGGGUGAGUAACGCGUGGGUAACCUACCCUGUACACACGGAUAACAUACCGAAAGGUAUGCUAAUACGGGAUAAUAUAUUUGAGAGGCAUCUCUUAAAUAUCAAAGGUGAGCCAGUACAGGAUGGACCCGCGUCUGAUUAGCUAGUUGGUAAGGUAACGGCUUACCAAGGCG